rnacentral:rRNA from 1 species
AUUGAACGCUAGCGGCAGGCCUAACACAUGCAAGUCGAACGAGUGGCGGACGGGUGAGUAAUGUCUGGGAACCUGCCUGGUGGCGGGGGAUAACUACUGGAAACGGUAGCUAAUACCGCAUACCAUCGGAUGUGCCCAGAUGGGAUUCGCUAGUAGGUGGGGUAACGGCUCACCUAGGCGACGAUCCCUAGCUGGUCUGAGAGGAUGACCAGCCACACUGGAACUGAGACACGGUCCAGACUCCUACGGGAGGCAGCAGUGGGGAAUAUUGCACAAUGGGCGAAAGCCUGAUGCAGCCAUGCCGCGUGUAUGAAGAAGGCCUUCGGGUUGUAAAGUACUUUCAGCGGAGAGGCGUUAGCCGCAGAAGAAGCACCGGCUAACUCCGUGCCAGCAGCCGCGGUAAUUC